UACGAAGGGGGCUAGCGUUGUUCGGAAUUACUGGGCGUAAAGCGCGCGCAGGCGGUUUUCCAAGUCAGUGGUGAAAGCCCGGAGCUCAACUCCGGAAAUGCCAUUGAAACUGUAAAACUUGAGGACGAGAGAGGUGAGUGGAAUUCCCAGUGUAGAGGUGAAAUUCGUAGAUAUUGGGAAGAACACCGGUGGCGAAGGCGGCUCACUGGCUCGUAACUGACGCUCAUGCACGACAGCGUGGGGAUCAAACAGG
rnacentral:rRNA from 1 species